CAGACAGCAGGCUGAGGGUGCACAAGAAGCUGGGAGGGGACACAGCCGGGACACCUGACCCCAACCGACCAAAUGGAUACUCUAUACCAUAUGACAUCACGCUCAGCACGUAGAGCUACAGGAAGAAGAAGGAAGGUGGAGAUCGAUGGAGUGGAAUUCAAAUGGAUGACCAACAUUUUGCACCUUCCAAGCCCUGGGACCACAACACAAUGUACGUGGGAACCACAGCAGAAGAUCCAGCUGGCAGAAACGCACAGACCAGUCUCACUGCAUGAAUGCUUCAUCCAGUUGCUCUUGCUGUCCUGUGGCUUAAAGGGAAUAUCAUAUUGGAGCAUUGAUUUGAUCUUCAAGGGCUGGACCAUGCAAGAUGCAAAGCAAGCCAGGACACUUCCUCUUCAACACUGAAGCAAAUGAAUUUUAAAUUCAGGUGCAUAUUUAAUUGCCCAGCAUGGAGGUCAGAGAGCUCAACAACGUUGGAGAUGGCCAUCACAGCAUCAGAUGGGUUGUGAGGACACUUAUACUAAUUUCAUUCUCAGACCUCUAAAGUAAAUCUUCAUUUUUUCAGUUUCUAUUUAGAUCAACAUUCAAAGACACGAAAACUGAUGAUGAAUAGACUAAAAUUUGAGCUAGAGUCUAAGCCAAUAGUUCAAUGAAGACACAGUUCAAGACAGCCGUACCACUCACUCACCUGUGUCCAUUCGUCAGCCAAAAAGGAGCCAGAGGACUGUGUCUUCAGUCUGCUGUUUUUUUGUCCUCCAUCAGGCCUUUGCAAGUCAUGCCAGUAAAUGUGGUCCCCAAACCACAACAUCUUAAAGAGAAAGCUAUUCCCAGGGCAUCUUUUGGAAGCAGCAAAGUUGCAGCUUUAGAUUGAUGUUCAUUUUUAUUUUGCGAUCACAGCUAAUAAAAAGAAAUUAAUAGAAACAUAGUCAGAUCCAAAAGUUUAUUAGAAAAGAGGCAUUGUAGUUUAAUUAUGCCACAGUGUUGUGUACGAGACAAAGCCCACUGAAAUCUGAAUACUUGAUGAUCUCUGGAAUUUGACUAAGAGCUCUUUGGCCUUAGGGAGAAACUUGACAAUUACUAAUCUACAUAUGCUGACAAUCUCUACAUAUCAGGGGCCUCAUGAGGGUCUUUAAUUGCUCUGUAAACUUCAAACUGGAGUGUUCUUCAGUAGGAAAAAACAAGAUGCUGCAUUCAAGCUAAAGAAGAGUGGUAGUUAACAUGUUUAUUAAAUACCUCCAGGCCUCGUAGGACUGCAGGGUGGAGGCAGAAGAAGUUAGAAAUGCAGCAUCAGAUUUAUUCAAGGCAGAACAAUUAUGCAUGUUCGGGUGCAACAGUGGCAUGAUGGAUCCAGGAAAAAAAUUCAGCGAAAGUGUUUCCACAAUUCCAAACCAUGUUUCUAUUCUUUUGCUUGCACAGCUCUUUUCGGCACAUUUCAUGGAGCUUUAAGACUGUGCACACAAAAUGUCUGCAUCAUUCGAAUGGAAGUGAGCAGUGGAUUUUAUAAGUUGAAGACCUGAGAUUUUUCAAAAGCAAAAUCUGUGAUGUUUGUCUUAGAGUUGCAUAAUGUAGGGCAGUGAGGUUUGUGUAUUUGGCAGGAGAGGGAUGUCUAUCCUCCAAGAUAUUUUCAGUACAGGUCCUAUUUUCAGAAAUUUUAGUAGAUCUGUCUCAAAAUGUAGCUGCAGAAAAUUGACUGUUUCAUAUGAGACCUAACAGCUUCAUAUUCCUUCCCUCUAACUUACGGUUUGACUCACACUUCGAUGAUUAAGUCUACCUGUGUUAUGGACAGCACAGAAGAUUAUUCUGGCUCAUUCGUCCGUUGCUGUAUUGACUUGAUGAUGUCAGGUUUGAUGUUUACAUUGCACAUUAUCAACAUAAUUGCCAAGCAAAUUCUGAUUGCUUCAUUUAUCAUUUUAUUUCUCUGUAAAUCGGGAAUGUCUAGAGCUAUCUUUCCACUGCUGUGAGGGUUCACUCUCCCUGCAAAACUGGCCACAGCGCACAGAGGCAGAAGUAACACCAACCCCUCCAGAAGCUGCUUGAUACAGCAGCAUCGGUCUUGGCAAGGGGUUUUUCAAAGUGCUUUGUCAUUUCUGGGGAGCAGAAGGAAUAGACGGAGCUUGGAAUGCACCCUGAUGGGAUGUGCAGCACUCGCCAUUAGAAGAACACCUUGCCUUGCAAUGAAGUUGAUCAGGAAGUAAUUGAAGGGAAUAAAUGUGGAAAUUCUCAGUGCCAACUCCAUCCUGGGCUCUAAUGACACAAUCCAAACCCUUGAAUUUGGGAAGAGAGGAAGUUAUCGGCAUAACACGUUAAACAACCUUAACUCCAGUGAGCAAUGGCACCACUAUAACACUUGUUUAUUAGCAAAAUGCAUCUGAUCUCAAACGCCUGCAUGACAAGUUCAUUACAUAUCAAUUUAAUUAGCUGAUUUACAUUUAAUUUACAUUUCAAUUAAUGUCUUUAGCAACAAAACGUUGCCUUAAUAGGGUAAUUGCCUGUUAGGCAAUAUGUAAAAGAAUAAAUAGUCACAUUCUGAGGAAGAAUUCCUAUUUUCAAUUUUUUAUUACCAUAAAUAACCUAAAUAAUUAUUGCUCUUAAGGGGCCACAUCCCAGUUCCCUUCUGGGCCUAAUUAUAAAGACUUAGUACCUCAUUAAGCAAAAUGGUUUCCGAGUCACAGAAAAGCAUUACUCUAAUCGUGACUCAUUAGUUUCGACAAAAGAGGGGGAAACUGCAAAAGUCGGCACAUUUCGCCAUAUUAUUCUUGUGGUUCAUAAGCAGCAGCACAUCUGAGAAGUGGCUGCUACAGCUGUGUAGGUGUUUCUGUCACGAAGCCCUGUUUUCAGAGGCAAGCAGGGGGAUGUAACUUUGGUCAUUAAGAGAGAGCCAUGUCCAACUGGAAAAGCUGGCACGUGCGCCCCUGGCACGGAGCAAGAAGCCUGAGUAAACUUUUCUGUUCCCUGAGAGCUCAUCUUUUUCCCAGGCACCACACACACGCUGGUGGUGAUUUAGGACCCAUCUUCUUCUAUCAUGCCACAAGGGUUGGUUUCAUCACUUAUUAUAUCCCACUGCAUAGAAAAUGGGUGGUUAAAUCAGCAGCAUAGAAAUCUUAAAUGAUGUUUUGUAUCUCAGAGCUGUAAGGAGAACCCCUACCCUCAUGGUCCAGCCAUUCUCCUUUAAUGUCUACUGAAGUUAAUAACGGCUCUAGUGCAUUUUGGAACUCGUCUUCAAGGCAAAGGUCUUCAGACAACACAUGACUGCGAUGCAAACACCGCCCCAUAGGGUGCCAGAUUCUGACCUGGUGUAACUCACCCAACUCCAGAAAAUUCAUCUGGACUAUGUGCCUGGGAAAAUUCAUUGCAAGAGACUGGGUAAGUUCUAGUUCCUUAUUACUUAUUUUCCUGUAGGGGGAUGCUGUAUGUAUAUAUCAACUGGACAAUGAAAACAAAAUCAGGUGUGAGUCACUUUCUUCUAGCACUAAAUGUACCUUUCCACUGGGAUAAGGAAAACAGUGCUGUCUUUAUAGAGAAAGAAAUAGAGAGAGGGAGAAGACUCUGCUUGCAAACAAAAAUGUCUUAUUACCUUCUGAAGUUAAUUGCUUAGGACUCAGAUGUAUAUCUCCUGGUAUUCUAUAUUUUAUUUUUGCUCCUACACUUGAUGGAUCUGGAAUUCUCUUCCGAGCUGCUAACUCUAUUUUUGCUUUUUAAAGCUCAUUUAAAACCUCUCCUGCUUUCCUGUGCCUGUGAUUAACACUAACCCACUCUACCCUUUCUUUUCCUGCAGCUUUUAUAUUCACCCCUUGCUGCAGACUGCAAGAAUUCUAAUUGGCAUCUGCUCUUCCUUUUGGGUUUCCAUUUUUUUCUUUCUUCCUGCUCCAUUUUCUCUCUGUUGCUAUCUGGGCUGCUCUGUGCCAUCCUGUUAUACUUUCUAGCCCAGAUCUGCCUAGUACUGUAAAGGAUUUGAUGAUUUUCUUUAGGAAGGACUCUAAUAAUAGCCACAAUCCUGCCCCUUUGAAAAUCUUCCUUACAAUGAAAAAAAUAUGUCCUGCCCUCCAGAGUGAAUUCCAUUGAAAUCCGAAAGUUCUUGUUAAAAAAAAAAAAAAUCCCUCUCUAUUCCUGAUGGAUUGGAGAAAUUUUAAAGGAGUAAUGUUAUAAUUUACGGGGAAUUUGAACAUAGAUCUCAGAGCUCCCUUUUUAAACAGGGUAACUUCAGGCUAUUACUUAAAGAAAGCGUUUCGGUUUUCUUCUCUAAUACAAUAACAAGCUACAAUUUAUAACAGGAAAACAAGCCAGCCAGAAAGUCCUUGAGGUUCUCUAGUGACUUCACUGUUGUCAAUCAAAUUAACAUGGAAGAUGCUCCAAUACUGCUACUUUAAUGGGCAGAAGGACAAAACUCCUGACAUACUGCAGAGAGGCUUUUGAAAAACAAGCAGCUAGAUGCCAUCUGAGCUGGAUGAGGCUAACAGAAGGCAGAGCCUAGGACUAUAAUGGGAUGUGAUGGAUUUUGAGCUUUAAGUGCCAUUUUCAGGUGGUCUUUGCCAAAACUGUGAUUUCUCAGCCCCCUGUUCAGCUGCUGCCUCAGCCUGGCUGCCCAGAGGUGAAGCUCUUCCCCAUGAAGACUGGUGUCUGACGCUCGCUUCCUGGCAUGCUCAGAAGUAGCUCAGUUAAGACAAUUCUGACAAGCUUGGAACCUCGCCGUGCCUCUGCCUUAAGGGCCUCAGAAGCCAACGCUCCCUGCUGCCCUCCCAGCAUCUCCUUUGGCAACACCAGGUGCUGCAAUGCAGGAGCUCCGAAACAAGUUGUUCAGAAUCCUCUCCUCAGGUCUCUGCUCAGUAAGCAGUAUUUUACCAUUCACUUUAACGUGCUUUACAGAGUUGCAGCGUUUAAAGACAGAACAUAGGUUUAGACUGUUCAGGUAGUCUCCUAUGCAUCACAGACCAUUAAAUACUGUUAGCACCCUUCUUUUCAUUUGACUAAACUAUGUUUUAUUUUGACAAAAGUAUUUCUUUAGUCAGCUCCUCAUUUUCCUUUGGUAUUGUCAGAAAAAUGGAGAAGUCACUUUCCCUUCAACAGCUUGCGUCAGAGGUUACUCACCUUCUCUGCUACCAUAUAAAGCCCAAUAUCUAAUACAAAUUUUUCUGGCUUCAGCUUCUAGCGGCUGCCUCUUGGUGUGCUUUUCCCAGUUAUAUUAAAGAACCAUACAGUAUCCUGCAUUUUUCAACGUGAUACUACCCACUGUAAUUGUCUUGGCCCUCUGUUCAGGCCACGGUGCUCUCAGUGCUGCAGCUAAAGCCAUCAUGGCUAAGCUCCCAUGAGCAGCAGUUCUUUAAUAGAGAAUACAGAAUACAGAUGCCUUUUUGAACACUUCCAAGCCAGUUGCCCUGAAUUCCUGCAGGACCAUAGUCAUUGACUCUGGAAUGGUAGAAGAAUGGACAGGAAUAUUUGGUAGGUAAUUUCUGCUUCCUCCAUGACCAUCAUCUUCAAUUGCUUUGCCAACCUGAUAAUAUUCUUUUCUUUGCUUUUUAAAUACAAAGCUGUACAUACAUAAGGAAUAAAAAGCUCUAAUUUAUUCUGCAAAAGUGUUCAUCAAGUGAGAGACAGGACUCUGGGAAAAGAUUAAGAGCUUACAUUUUUCAUUUGACUUAUUUCACAUAAAAUUUCAUAGAGGAUAAAAUGAUGGGAGGCAAAGAAGCAAUGAUAUUUCUGUUUUAUCUCUGUCUAAGGACCAUAAAUCUUUCUGAAGUAUCAUUAAUUAUAGCAGCGCUAUUCACAACGCUAUUGUUAAGGGUCUAUCAGCACUCCCAUUAUAAACCCCUAUUUUCAGAGGUUUAUAACGUGGUUAGAAGAAUUUUGUUUCAUGCAAAAACUUUGCUGGGGCUCCAUCUAAGAUGAUUUUUUUUAAAUGUAAAACACAAAGGGAAGUGUUACCUCUUUUGGUACUAAGGGAGAGCCCAGGAACUUUCUACGGGUACAAAGCUAAUGCUCUUUUGGCUGAUUGUAUCUGUAACAUUUCUGAAUUCAUAGAACUGUAUUCACAGAAGUUCUCUCUUAGAUGAAUUUAGACCAUUGCUUUAAAAUGCAAGUUUUCAAUUACUAUAACUGAAUUCAAGAACUGGAACAUUCCUCUAGUGGCUGUAAUCAAAUCAUAUUAGAUUCCUUCUCUAGCUACAGUCAGUCAAGAAAGAGUUUAGCAGACCUGAAAAAGAGCUUACACAUUAAAAAAACUUUCGGUGUCUUUAGGUAGCAUGCUUUUUUCUUUGUUGCAGACACAACAUACACUAAGAAUCAGUGAAGUCACUGGUCACAUCCACCAAAGCGAGUCUUGGCUUAAGAGCAAUACAGAGGAAUUGCUCUGUCAUGGCUGAGCGAUGCUGAAAUUUUCGGAGAGACAUUUGAGUUUCUCCAGAUGUGCAGUGAAAGAUGCUCUUCAACAGACACUAGCGAGACUAAGAGCACACAGGGAAGAAAGGUUGCUGCUUUGCCUACAUAACAACACGACCGGAUAGCCUUUUGUCUGUAGCAACUUGUAAGAUUCAUCAAGGAAGCCUGAGAGCUCUGCUCAGCUGUGUCCUUGCAUGCUAGAAAAGAGCAAGACGCUCAAUAUGACAGGAUCGACAAAAUCAUUGUGGCCUUUUUCUAAAGCAAUAGAUAUUAAUGAAUGCUAACUUCUAGGCAACUUUUCUCCUGGUUUAAAGUAAAAAGAUUAGAUGAAAACGUAUUUUGUGAAGAGUGUGCUGACACCCUCAGGUAAUCUCCAUCCUCUGUCCUCAUCAAUAAUCUAACACUCAACCUUCCACGUUACAUUACUGUCUGCAGUAACACAAUUCACUUUGGUCCCCUUAGAUCCCCUCCUUAAAAACUCUCAUAUUACGAAAUUCUUCCAGCUCUGCUCUACAGCAUACUGGGGUUGUUUAGUCCUAACUUAUGCUUGCUGUUUUCCUUGACUAUGAAUUCUUUACACAGGAACUGACUUUUGUGAAUUGCACUUUUAACCUAGCAGUGAGUGAAAAGAUCAAAAUAACACAUGUGGGUAUUGCCUUAUGUGGUCUCUAAAGAGCUCCAAUUCUGCUUUAAACACUGUUUAAUGUAUCUUGUGAUAAUGAGUUCCACUAUCUAACGUACUUUCUUCUAUCAGUUUUGAUUGUGCUGUCUUUUAAUUUCACUGCAUGUGUCCUUUGAAAGGAUAAAUAGGCAUGGGUAAAUAGAAGAAAGCAUUUGUACAUAUUAUUCAGUCCUGUAUGUACCUUUUUCUGUGUUACAUCUUAUUUUUCUCCUCUCCAAAGUAAAACAAUAUUAAUAUAUUGUUUGUUUAUCUUUUCCAAUAUGGAAAUCUUUCCAUAUCUCUUAAUUUGUUGCUGUUAUUUGAGAAGAUCUCUUCCUUUAAUACUCUACAGUUACUAAUGACAAGGCAAUCAUACGGAGUAAUGAUAUCUAAAUAAAGGGCUCGAUGUGCAGUAAGACAGAGGUCUCUUUUGGCUGCCCCAUCAACACCAGGCCCUUCUCAUAAGAACUGCAGUGGAGGAUGGAAAAAUGUGGAAAGCUCCUUUAUUUCCUUCAUUCUUAUUGCCAGAAUAAUUGUGCAAUGUCACUUUGCACCCAGUGUAAUGCUCCCUAAGAUUAACAGGAAAAACAUUCUCAGCUUCUUAGCAGAAAAUGAAUCUCUGACAAACUCAGUGAUGUUACUUCCUCUCUGAUCUCUGGUCUUAUCUGAUCUAAUUUUGCUUGAUCUACAGUAUUAUUUAGAUUCUGAACUUUAGAACACCCACUGUUAGCAAGCCUGACUCUUCCUGUUUCUCCCACUUUACUUAUUCUGUAGCAUAUUUCAAUAUACUGAGACUCCUUCUAGCCCUACCACCAUAAGCACUGCAACACUAUGGUAUAAAUCUUGUGAUAAUUACCUCAAACCAGUGCAACCUCACUCUUUUGAUAGUUACUCCUGGUUUGCAAUGGUAGAAACAUGAGCAGAAUUGCAUAUUUUGAUGACACCAGGCUUCUUGCAUAGCAGGCAUGGCAGAGCAGCUGGAGGACAGAAAACCAGGAAGAUUUUAAAUGGAGGAGAUUGCAAAAACCUCAACAUAAAGCAGAGCUGUCAUCCAGGCUCUUUUAUUACAUGGCACUAAGUAUAAGUAGCAUUACAAGAAGAUUUACUUUUGUAAAAGCAAAGGAAUUAAUGCGCUUUCACAGCAGGGAAACUUUACAGCAGUUAAGACCUCAGGUCUAUUAAAGUAGCAGACAUUUCUCGUGGCUUUGCUUAUUAGCAAAAGGAUUUGUGCAAAAAGUCAAGGUUUCCCCUUUCCGUCCCCCAAAUUCCUGCAUCAUUAUUCCUGUAGUACAAAUGUAAGACUAAAUCAUCCAUUUCAGCAUAACAAGAAGGACCAGAUGGAUCUCACACCACUGCAGAAAGGGCUGGAUAGGCAAAACACUGCAACAACAGCCUUUCUUUCCAAGGCCCAGCGGGGCGAAGCAGCAGAAACUCUGCAGACCAGAAGGACGGAGAAGCAUCUCUGUGCAGAGAGCAUAACUCUCUAGUCUACUACAGAGUCUCCCUGAUUUGCCAGGGAAAAACACUGAAAUUCAUCACUGCCUUAUCACUUCAGAGAAGCUUUCUGUCCUGCCUCGUGCUCCCUUUUCAAGGGUUAUAAAGUCCUUCUGUUCCAGGGCACUGCACAUGGAUAUUAAAUUUUCAUCACAAGCAUGAUGCCAUUUUUGAUUUCAGCAUUUAUCUGUCUUCUGUUCUUAUAUGGCCACACUUACCAUAAUAUCUCAUACUUCACAAUCUUUAACACAUUAUUUAUCCCUCCAAAAAGCAUGCAUAUGAAAAGUACCUGAAAAUAAGCAAUAAAACAUUUUAAUACUGUCACCAUCUGAGGCUAUGGAUCUUUGAGAAUUUUAUUUUCAUUAACUCUGGAAUGCUAUUCAUAACCUUGAGAAUGAUAACGCAUAGAAAAUGACUUUAUCCAAGUGUCAAAUGCUCCUCAAUAUAUGU